CGGAGGGUGCAAGCGUUAUCCGGAUUCACUGGGUUUAAAGGGUGCGUAGGCGGGUAUAUAAGUCAGUGGUGAAAGCUCCGAGCUUAACUUGGAAACUGCCAUUGAUACUGUAUAUCUUGAAUAUCGUAGAGGUUAGCGGAAUGUUGCAUGUAGCGGUGAAAUGCUUAGAUAUGUUACAGAACACCAAUUGCGAAGGCAGCUAACUAUGCGACAAUUGACGCUGAGGCACGAAAGCGUGGGGAGCAAACAGGAUCAGAUACCCUGGUAGUCCACGCCCUAAACGAUGAUUACUCGAUGUUGGCGAUACACUGUCAGCGUCUUAGCGAAAGCGUUAAGUAAUCCACCUGGGGAGUACGCUCGCAAGAGUG
rnacentral:rRNA from 1 species